UACAGAGGUCCCGAGCGUUGUUCGGAUUCAUUGGGCGUAAAGGGUGCGUAGGCGGCUUCCUAAGUUUGAUGUGAAAUCCUGGGGCUCAACCCUGGAACUGCAUUGAAUACUGGGAGGCUAGAGUACUGGAGAGGAAACUGGAAUUUACGGUGUAGCAGUGAAAUGCGUAGAGAUCUGGAGGAAUACCGAUGGCGAAGGCAGCCUUCUGGCCUAAUACUGACGCUGAGGUGCGAAAGCAUGGGGAGCAAACAGG
rnacentral:rRNA from 1 species